GGGUCACAAAGAGAUCGUUGCCACUUCAAAUAUAACAAAUCCUUUAAUCUAUCGGAAGAAAGUGCUGGUUGCAUGCAACCUCCUCUGCUCUUACAUUCUCGUUUGUUGAUAUAAUCUUCGACUCCACUUUCAAAUGUUUCUGAAACAGAUGCAAAGUAGGAAUCUGGACGCCAAACAGCAAGGCUUGGGUCAGGACACUUAUUUGCCUUCUUUAGAUACUUUCUUCGUUUCUUCUCAUCUAGUUCAUACCACAUCUUCAAUAACUGUAAAGUAGCAGGAUCUCUUCCAUUUAUGCUUUCUCCUCCUGGGAUUUGUGUCUUUACACUUGCCAUUUUCUUCUGGGAAAACAACAGAAAACCUCCUUCUCUUUGCACAGAGUUUUGGUGCCUG
rnacentral:lncRNA from 1 species